UGUGAACGUUACCAAACUGUUGCCUCGGCGGGAUCUCUGCCCCGGGUGCGUCGCAGCCCCGGACCAAGGCGCCCGCCGGAGGACCAACCAAAACUCUUUUUGUAUACCCCCUCGCGGGUUUUUUUAUAAUCUGAGCCUUCUCGGCGCCUCUCGUAGGCGUUUCGAAAAUGAAUCAAAACUUUCAACAACGGAUCUCUUGGUUCUGGCAUCGAUGAAGAACGCAGCGAAAUGCGAUAAGUAAUGUGAAUUGCAGAAUUCAGUGAAUCAUCGAAUCUUUGAACGCACAUUGCGCCCGCCAGUAUUCUGGCGGGCAUGCCUGUCCGAGCGUCAUUUCAACCCUCGAACCCCUCCGGGGGGUCGGCGUUGGGGAUCGGCCCUCCCUUAGCGGGUGGCCGUCUCCGAAAUACAGUGGCGGUCUCGCCGCAGCCUCUCCUGCGCAGUAGUUUGCACACUCGCAUCGGGAGCGCGGCGCGUCCACAGCCGUUAAACACCCAACUUCUGAAAUGUUGACCUCGGAUCAGGUAGGAAUACCCGCUGAACUUAAGCAUAUCAAUAA
rnacentral:rRNA from 1 species